UUCUAGAGGAAGGAAGUUAAAGACAGCAAUCAUUUUACAGAAAAAUCGUCCCAGCGGUGGAAAUCCGAGGUGGGCGAGCCAGCUAGGCUUCCUUUCAGAAUUGGAAGCAAAUCCAAAUCCAUUCACAUCGUCGGUCUGUGUUAUUUAUUUCACCCCUCCCUGAAGUUACCCUUAAGGUUCGCCCAGGGCAGCUGCUGACCCUGGGGCACGAGGCCCCCGCCAUUGUUGAGCAGGGGUGCUGCAGCGUCUCGGGUUCCUGCCGUGUCCUGCCCACUGGGCUCCUGCGGAGCCGUGGUGGCGGGCUGACAUUCACACUACCCAGGCAGCACAACUCAGGGAGAGGUGGAAGAAUACCGAGUUCAAAUGAUUUAACAAAAAAUACUCGAUGUUCCUUUGUCUUGCACCUGGGAGAAAAUGUCACUGUCUUCUAUUAGAGGACAGAGAGAAUGGGAAGGAAGCCGUGGUAGGCGUGGCAAACUUUUGAAACAUUUUGACAGGCGUAAGACUAUUGCGCUCAUAAGACUAUUGCGCUCAUCGAUUUGACUAAAGCGAUGCCAAUUAGCUUUUGAGGUUGGGAUGGAGGCAGCCGAGUGUUAAACAGCCAGCGACUGACUCUGUCCUUUGGCCGUAGCUUGGACUCCAGAACUAUUAGCUGUGUAUCGCCGAGCUGUCUUUAAAGGUAGGAAGGGACACCUCUGCUCCUGGUACCUCUGGACACUCCAGAUGUCCACUCUAUGAGGUGACAUAUCUGUGUGAAAGUAGCCCAUGAGAGAGUGCCAAGGCCAUGGGACAGAGGCCCCAGCAUGUGAGCUCAAACGAGGCAGCAUGGGUCUGAAAGGGUCCUUCUUGAGAUGUGAAAUCUUGGAGCCACAGCCUGAAGGAGCUCGCCUGGUUGAAUAAAGAAAUCACUCAACAAAGGACGCUCCUUCUCCAGCCUGAAGAGGCGCUGACGCCACCUACAGCCUGGAGACCGGCUCUGCAACCAGCACCUGCCAGCCAGUCUGGUGCUGGGGGGAAGAGAUUAGAAUUUAUAUGGGGCAUGGAGAACGGGCAGUCAACUCUCAAGGUGAAUACUUUCCCUGAUAAAUUGUAAACCAUUAAAAACAUGUUUAAAAAUUAUUUUGACUAAUGAGUUUUUGAAGAUUGUAGCAGUUGGAUUAAAAUUUGUGAACUACAUUUCUUAUAUAAAUAUAUUUUUUCUAGUGAGCACCUUCUAGGAUAUGGUCACAUCUUGUGUGUGUGUGUGUGUGUGUGUGUGUAGCAACCUCAAACAUUCAACCCAAAUCCAGAUUAGGUUAGUGGGUACAUGCUUAUCCACAUAGUCUUAUCUUCUUAGGGGAAACCGGAUUACUGUGAAACCAUCAGAUAACACACAAUUCUGAAAAGAAAUGGAAUGUAUUUUUAUUGGUGGAGCCAAGAUGAAGUAUGUCUUGAAAUCUGUUUUACAAAUAAACUUGCACAUAAAUUGUCCAUUCGCUGCUUCGAAAUCUUUUUUCACAUUUGAAGAGCUGUCAGAGGUCCCUAAUAAACAUGAGUCUUAUUUAGUUUACUGGGUAUGUAAUUCUUCUUUUCUUUGAAAAUAAUUAUUUUUCAAGCAAGUGCAGCAAAAAUACAACCAAUAAAAAUCUAGCUAUGACAGCAUAAACAACCUUUAUAGCCAGCAUAUACAUAGAGUUCUUCCAAUAAAAGCGGCUCCUGAUAAGGAAGGGAACAGAACAUUGACUGACUCCUGCCGAGAUCAAGUGCCAGUCUCCUAAGGGUUGACAGUGGGAACCUCACAGCCAGUUCCCACUCCCCUAACCUGGACUUGUCCUUGGCUAUCAGGGUGACCCUUGGGCUAAGAAGAAGAGGGCUGGUCGCUUGGCAGGACCCAGUGUCCAGUUCAUCUCAAUGUGAUUUGGGAGACACCCUUCCCAAGGCCCAUUCCUGGGGCCACCGAAGUUGAUGGACAAUGGGCUGAAAUUCCCUGGAGGGCUCUGGAGAGGCAGGAUGCAGCCUGUCUCCCUCUUGGUUCCACCAUCCCCCGUCCAUGCCAGUGAUCCCUUGGUGAGGGCCAUGCCAGGGUAGGUGGUAGGGCUGGCAUGUGGAGAUGGGAGUGCACGCAGGAGGAUCUGAUCCAGGGAUUCUGCUCUGGGCUUUGGUCAACCUGGUCCUGACCCGUUGGGGCUCCUGGGGAGACCCGCUUGUUGGGGCCAUUCCCAGCCCUGUGCCCAGCCAUGGUCACUGCAGCCCCUGACCACCACCCGGGGCCAUCAGUGCAUGGGCAGAGCCUGAGCCUGCAGUGCGGGGGCUCUGGGGUGUCCCCAGUCCUGUGCUUAGCUGUGGUCACUGCGUCCCUGGCCACGGCCAUGGCCACCUGUGUAGGCAGAGCCGGCAGCACUGGGGCUCUGGCCUCCCUAGUUGGGUGCUGACUCCUCCCAGGGAGCUCCAUGUUAGCAAGUUCCAGCAGACGUGUGGGUGUUCAUUUAUGCUUUUUAUAGUAGCUAGAGAAGAUGUUAUCGCAGCUUGAGAACAGAAAUUAAAAUAUGUAUCCUUCAGGUGCAAAUCUACUGUACUUACAGUUUUACUGUUUCUCUGCAGGGGGCUCCAUUAAUCUUGUAACAGUGAAAUUCCUAAGGAAAUUAAUUCCCUCCAGUUGGGGUUACUCUCAACUGGUCUUUGGGGGUGGAGUAAUUGGAAUUUAACAGUCUCUCUUAGAGGAAAGGAAACAGUGGCCAUUUCACUUGAAUAACAACACUUUUUAAUGCCAUACUUUGCCCAUUAAAAAUGCCUUCUCAUUCUUUCCCUUCCAGUACCCCUUGUGUCUCUCAGCUCCUCUUGUUAGGGUUUACAGAGACCUGGCCAGGCGGGAAUUCACUACCAAGUCCUCGUUUAUGCUCACCAAGUAUUCUCUCCACUCUGGGUUAUUUGUGCACACUAGUACACAGCCCUGUGCCCUGCAGCGGAGUAACACUGGAUUGACCACAGGAAUAAAUGAUGCAUUAUCAAAAGUGCAUGGCUAAAAUAUUCCUUUGCUGGUUUAGGAGCAGUAAAUGUUAGCUGUCGCUACCUGGGAAAAUAAUUACCCCUCAGUGUCUCUCUCUCACACAGACACAUUUUAAAAUGGGGUCUUUAAAAUGGGGUCAAUUCACAGAUGUAGGGUGGAGCGCCUUCGCUGCCAGGAAGGCCCCCUGCAGUCCUGUCUGGUGCUUCCGUUCUCCCAGGCCAAGACUUCACCCUGAGGCCCCCGGAGCCCCAGCUUCCUGAUCCCCAUGCUCCUGGCCUGUGAAGUGCAUACAGCACCCUCGGGGAAACCUAAUUGUCCCACCAGGGCUGUCCUGCUGUCCUGGGAGAGCUGUUCCUGGUUCCUGACCAAGUGAGGCCUGGGAGCCCAGGAGAGGCCCCUGUUCAGAGGGCACUUAAGAUGAAGUGUCACUAGGUUCCCUAGGGGGAUCACCCCACCCCCAAGAGAGAAUAGGACAUGGCUAAAGGAUGCUUCCAUAUGGAGUCAACAGAAGGUCAGCGCCUGGGAUGAACCCACAUUGGGGACACAGGCCAAAAUCAGCCCCAAUAUCUUGCUUUUCUGUUUUUGAGCUUUCCAGCACUAACAGGGAAAGCCAAGUGCAGAGUAUUCUGUAACAGCCAAACCAGUUUAAUUUUCUAAUGACGAGGUUUUCCCUCUGGGCCUGAAAAUGCUUAGAGAGGCCUGGGCUCCCUAGAGUGUUAACGGCAUGCGAUGCCAGAUGGGGUGUGUAGUGGGGCAGGAGAAGAACUUGAGGCAGGAAAGGGAAGGCCCUGGGGAGAGUCCUAGCACUGCCCCUUUCCUGCUGUGGGUCUGGGCAGUUUCCGUGGCUAUACAGUGGCAGUUGGCAGUGAUGGUUUUUACAUUGCCAGCUCAAGGAGCACUGAAUGAUAAAUACAGACAUGUGGCUCUGGCUCACGGCUGAGUGGAGUAGUCUUUGUUUUCCAAGUCAGAGCUUUUUUCUUUUUUUUUUUUUUGGUGAGGAAGACUGUCACUGAGCUAACAUCUAUGCCAAUCUUCCUCUAUUUUGUAUGUGGGACGCUGCCACAGCAUGGCUUGAUGAGCAGUGUGUACGUCUAUGGCUGGGAUCGAAACCCAUGAAUGCUGGGCUGCUGAAGUGGAGCACAUGACCUUAACCCCUAUGCCACUGGGCUGGCCCCAAGUCAGAACAUUUUAAAGCUCAGAGGUCACCUGCUGACCCUUAGGCCUGUUGAUACCAAUAGUGACAACGGCAAAAGGGCAGAAGGCAAAAUGUUAUCUGGGAGUUUCCGUAACAUUUUUUUCUUUUUUAAGUAGGGAACAUGCUUGGCAGCUGGUAUAUGGUACUUUCAGCAAAUUCCAUUUAAAGGAAAAAGUAAGAUUUUUGAAACUGCCCCACGAGAGGAGUGAUUAUGGCUUUUUUGGGAAAAGAUUCACUAUAGCACAUUUCCCUAGUGCAUCACAAUUUCAUUAUUUUUUAAAUUACAAAGCCAGUCCACGAUCUUUGGAAAAAUGCAAAAUGACACUAAGUAGAUAAGGUAAAAAGUGAAGGUCCUCCCUUUAUUUUUUGAGGAAGAUUAGCCCUGAGCUAACAUCUGCUGCCAAUCCUCCUCUUUUUGCUGAGGA